CUACGGGUCGCUCCAGUCGAGUAACUUUUACAAUGCGCGCAAGCGUGAUAGAGCAAGCCAGAGUGCUUUUCCGUAUUGGAAAAGCUUUUGUGAGAUGUAAAUAAUCUUGCGAAUAAGGACUGGGCAAGACUGGUGCCAGCCGCCGCGGUAAUACCAGCGGUCCAAGUCGCAGCCACGUUUAUUGGGUCUAAAACAUCCGUAGCUUGCUGAGCAAGUCUCUUGUAAAAUCUGGCCUCUUAAGGGUCAGGCAGGCAUGAGAUACUGCUUGGCUAGAGACCGGGAGACGUAAGGAGUACAGUUUGGGUAGCGGUCAAAUGCGUUGAUCCUUACUGGACUAACAAUAGCGAAGGCACCUUAUGAGAACAGUUCUGACUGUGAGGGAUGAAGGCUAGGGGCGCAAAACGGAUUAGAUACCCUCGUAGUC
rnacentral:rRNA from 1 species